UGUUGGGCGUUCUGAUUGGUUGGUAUUUCGAGCCAGCCAGUCAGAGCGCCGAACGCGCU
rnacentral:precursor_RNA from 1 species